rnacentral:rRNA from 1 species
CGUAGGGUGCAAGCGUUAAUCGGAAUUACUGGGCGUAAAGCGUGCGCAGGCGGUUAUGCAAGACAGAUGUGAAAUCCCCCGGGCUCAACCUGGGAACUGCAUUUGUGACUGCAUAGCUAGAGUACGGUAGAGGGGGAUGGAAUUCCGCGUGUAGCAGUGAAAUGCGUAGAUAUGCGGAGGAACACCGAUGGCGAAGGCAAUCCCCUGGACCUGUACUGACGCUCAUGCACGAAAGCGUGGGGAGCAAACAGGAUUAGAUACCCUGGUAGUCCACGCCCUAAACGAUGUCAACUGGUUGUUGGGAGGGUUUCUUCUCAGUAACGUAGCUAACGCGUGAAGUUGACCGCCUGGGGAGUACGGCCGCAAGGUUG